GUAUAUGGGCAUACCACCCUGAACGCGUCUCAUCUCAUCUGAUCUUGGAAGGUAAGCAGGUUGGGCCUGGUUAGUACUUGGAUGAGAGGAAACCAUGCUGCUGUAGUAA
rfam:Ailuropoda melanoleuca scaffold420_37, whole genome shotgun sequence.